GGAAACUCUGACGCAGUGACGCCGCGUGCAGGAAGUAAGGUUUUCGGAUUGUAAACUGCUUUAGACAGGGAAAGAAAAAGACAGUACCUGUAGAAUAAGCUCCGGCUAACUACGUGCC
rnacentral:rRNA from 1 species